rnacentral:rRNA from 1 species
AGUGAACGCUGGCGGUAGGCCUAACACAUGCAAGUCGAACGGCAGCACAGUAAGAGCUUGCUCUUACGGGUGGCGAGUGGCGGACGGGUGAGGAAUACAUCGGAAUCUACUUUUUCGUGGGGGAUAACGUAGGGAAACUUACGCUAAUACCGCAUACGACCUACGGGUGAAAGCAGGGGAUCUUCGGACCUUGCGCGAUUGAAUGAGCCGAUGUCGGAGUAGCUAGUUGGCGGGGUAAAGGCCCACCAAGGCGACGAUCCGUAGCUGGUCUGAGAGGAUGAUCAGCCACACUGGAACUGAGACACGGUCCAGACUCCUACGGGAGGCAGCAGUGGGGAAUAUUGGACAAUGGGCGCAAGCCUGAUCCAGCCAUACCGCGUGGGUGAAGAAGGCCUUCGGGUUGUAAAGCCCUUUUGUUGGGAAAGAAAAGCAGCAGGUUAAGACCCCGCUGUUCUGACGGUACCCAAAGAAUAAGCACCGGCUAACUUCGUG